rnacentral:rRNA from 1 species
AUUGAACGCUGGCGGCAGGCCUAACACAUGCAAGUCGAGCGGAUGAAGGGAGCUUGCUCCUGGAUUCAGCGGCGGACGGGCGAGUAAUGCCUAGGAAUCUGCCUGGUCGUGGGGGAUAACGUCCGGAAACGGGCGCUAAUACCGCAUACGUCCUGAGGGGGAAAGUGGGGGAUCUUCGGACCUCACGCUAUCAGAUGAGCCUAGGUCGGAUUAGCUAGUUGGUGGGGUAAAGGCCUACCAAGGCGACGAUCCGUAACUGGUCUGAGAGGAUGAUCAGUCACACGGGAACUGAGACACGGUCCCGACUCCUACGGGAGGCAGCAGUGGGAAAUAUUGGACAAUGGGCGAAAGCCUGAUCCAGCCAUGCCGCGUGUGUGAAGAAGGUCUUCGGAUUGUAAAGCACUUUAAGUUGGGAGGAAGGUCAGUAAGUUAAUACCUUGCUGUUUUGACGUUACCAACAGAAUAAGCACCGGCUAACUUCGUG